CCGGCGACCGGCGGACGGGUGCGUAACGCGUAUGUAACCUACCUUUGACAGGGGGAUAACAUCGAGAAAUUGGUACUAAUACCCCAUAACAUCACCGGAGGCAUCUUCGGUGGUUGAAAACUCAGGUGGUCAGAGAUGGACAUGCGUUGUAUUAGCUAGUUGGUGAGGUAACGGCUCACCAAGGCGACGAUACAUAGGGGGACUGAGAGGUCAACCCCCCACAUUGGUACUGAGACACGGACCAGACUCCUACGGGAGGCAGCAG
rnacentral:rRNA from 1 species